AAAUAUGAUGAUUUGUAUGUCGUUGCUGCUCUUACAUGCAUCACUGAUGCUAGAUGGUGAUUGACUACAUUCUCGUCUGAUUC